CUUCGCCCCGCCCGUCCGCGCAGCGCGUCCGGCCCGCCCGCAGGCCAGCUUCUCUCGGGAGCCCCCACCCAGGCUCAUGGCUCCAUGAAGCAAGAGGAGGAGGCAGAGCGCGAGAGGUCCGUCCGCCCCAGCCGCGUCUGGGCCAGGAGAAAAGCAAAACCAUAUUCCUGCUGCUGUCAGUUAUGAUGCACUGAGAAAACUUCAGAGACCUAAGCUUUUUCCAGAGAAGAGAAGCUUUACUGGUGUUCCAGCCCUAAGCAACCAUCUUUCCUGUGAAAAAUUCCCUCUCCUAGUACUUUAGUUCUGUGGAUCCAAAAUUUAUAGCAUUCUUCUACCACCACAGGGGCUCAUAUGACAUUAACAGACAAGACACUUUUCAGAAAGACAGGUUGUUCUUUUGGGCCACAUCUAAGAAAUCUUUGUCUAGCCAAAAGCCACAAAUAAUUUCUCAUUUUUUGGCUUCUGGAAGAUGUACAGUUAAAUGUUAUAUUUGGGACUGUUAUCUAAUUUGAUUAAAUUGCACUCUACAAUAUGAUAUUUGAAUUGAUGAAAAAUUAGUAAAUGUUAAUAUUUUUUAAAGUA
rnacentral:antisense_RNA from 1 species